UCUACCAACAUCCAUCUGUUUUCAUUAAUUGAUUCGAACAAUGAAUGGCAUGAAAUGAAACUUUAAUUACUAUUACUACUACUGCUCUUUCUUUCAAGCCUCACCAGCAAAUUGGUCACCAAAGUUCCUUCGAUAAUGGUGCUCCAAAACAAUGAAUCCUGCUCACAAAGAAUGUGUUUUUUUUGUUCUUGUGGUCAUCCUUUGCCUCAGUUUUCAGAAUAUAUUGCCUCCUUGAUCCAUUAAUCCCUUCUUUUUAUUCAUUCCAAUAACCAAAUCAAAUCAAAACAAAACAAAACCUUUCUAUAGUUUAAUUUUUUAAAUCUAUAACAAACAAACUCUUUAAGAAAUUCUCCGAGAUGGGUGAGUAGCGCCGAUACCAGGUUUGCCAUGUUUAAUCUGCUUGUAUGUAAUGGUGAGCUCGCCGAGAUAGUGUCCAACCAGGGUUUCCUUUCAACUUAGUUAAAACAUUUUUCAUUAUAUACCUCAAGGAUGCUUCCAAUUAUCUGAGCACCACCGCCACCACAAGCUCUCUUCAACGCACGCCUUGCACAAACACCAACAAGUACAACACAAUCCUUCUUUCUCAUGAGCAUAUUAAAAAUAGCUUCCAAAUCACCAACUCUCUUCAAUGCUUACCUAGCAUGAGCACCAACUCAGCAAAGUCUUCAAUGGGCAUCUUAAGAAUAGCCUCCAAGUCAAAGGCCCUUGAAAGUGAACUCUUUGAAGGUUCUCUUCUCUCAACAUUGGGAGACUUGACCAAAAUAAAGUUAUAUGAACUCAUUUCCUCAGCUCCAUCAACCACAUCAUCCUCACCCAUCAGUGUAGUUAUGAAAUCUUCAGACAUCGCUCUCUCUUCCCUGUCAUACUAAGAGAGCUUGUGGUGGUGCUGCUGUCAAGUAAAGAAGAAAGCACAUUAAUCUUUUGAAAAAGAUUUAUAAAGUAAAAUUGGAAUCGAAAGCAUCUGAUGAGAAACCAAGGGCGAUAAAAACCCGUUACACGACGUUGUUAUUAUACCUCAGAUGAUUGGAAGCAUCUUUGAGGUAUAUAAUGAAAAAUGUUUUAACAAAGUUGAAAUGAAACCCGAGAUGAUUGGACACUGUCUCGAUAAAUUCUCCGUUACAUACAAGCCGAUUAAACAUGACAGACUUAGUAUCAGCGCUACUCACCCAAGAGCCGAUUAAACCAAGAGCGUUGAAGAGAAGAUAAGAAAUUAAUUCCAUGAUAGAUGAUUCUUUCACAUCUUUUUAGUAAACUUGCAUUUGCCCCCAUUUCACGGGUAAAAAAUUUAGGCUCUCAUCCCCGCCAGCAACAGGGUUUGAGUUUUUCCGCCCGCAUCUGCAACCACUCAUAUAUAUAUAAAAUUAUAAAUUUAAAAAUCA